rnacentral:rRNA from 1 species
GUAGGUGGCAAGCGUUGUCCGGAAUUAUUGGGGCGUAAAGCGCGCGCAGGCGGUUCUUUAAGUCUGAUGUGAAAGCCCACGGGCUCAACCGUGGAGGGUCAUUGGAAACUGGAGAACUUGAGUACAGAAGAGGAAAGCGGAAUUCCACGUGUAGCGGUGAAAUGCGUAGAGAUGUGGAGGAACACCAGUGGCGAAGGCGGCUUUCUGGUCUGUAACUGACGCUGAGGCGCGAAAGCGUGGGGAGCAAACAGGAUUAGAUACCCUGGUAGUCCACGCCGUAAACGAUGAGUGCUAAGUGUUAGGGGGUUUCCGCCCCUUAGUGCUGCAGCUAACGCAUUAAGCACUCCGCCUGGGGAGUACGGCCGCAGGGCUG